AUUGAACGCUGGCGGCAGGCCUAACACAUGCAAGUCGAACGAGUGGCGGACGGGUGAGUAAUGUCUGGGAAACUGCCUGAUGGAGGGGGAUAACUACUGGAAACGGUAGCUAAUACCGCAUACCAUCAGAUGUGCCCAGAUGGGAUUAGCUUGUUGGUGGGGUAACGGCUCACCAAGGCGACGAUCCCUAGCUGGUCUGAGAGGGUGACCGGCCACACUGGAACUGAGACACGGCCCAGACUCCUACGGGAGGCAGCAGUGGGGAAUAUGUCGCAAUGGGCGAAAGCCUGAUGGAGCCAUGCCGCGUGUGUGAAGAAGGUCUUCGGAUUGUAAAGUACUUUCGGCGGGGAGGCGUUACCCGCAGAGAAAGCACCGGCUAACUCCGUGCCAGCAGCCGCGGUAAUUC
rnacentral:rRNA from 1 species